CUCCUUCCUCAGAGCCCCAGGGGAUAGAUAGGUCGGAAGGAAAGCAAAGCCUGGAGAAGCGGCCAGACAGAGCCCCGAAAGGUGCCACGGGCAGACCUGGGGUGCGCAAGCUGUCGGUCGAGGGGAAGGGAGUCAGGCUGCACGAGACAGCCGCGCGGCCAGCGGGCGACUACCCCAAGUGGGGAGAUGGAACACCGAGGGCCACGGGGAAAGAGGCAAGCCCAGGGGAAACGGGGAGACGGAACCGGGGAAAGGGACUAAGAACAGGAGGCUCAGAGAGGUUGUGACCUUUCCAAGUUCCUGUAGCCACUAAGUGGCAGAGCUGAGAAUGGAAUCCAGGUCUGAUCUGACAACCCAAGCCCUAAAGGGCGGAGUCUGUGGAGUUGAAAUCAGGACACGGCGAGAGGAAGAGUUAUAUAACUGGGAGAAGCCGAGAAGGACGAGUGAGGACCGGGAGAGACAGCCCGAAAGGAGCCGAGGGAGGUGCAAAGAGCACCAGGGCGAGUGGGGAAGAAACGUUAGGGAUGGGAAAGAUUUCGGUGCACAUCAAAGGGGAAGAAUUCACGCGAAGACGGGUUGUGAUGCUCCGGGAAGAGUCACCUGGGGCGUCCGGGGCUUCCCCGCAGUGCCCUUCCCUGCUGCCAACAGCAGCCGGGCCCGAGCGCGUGAAGCCUCGGGAAGGGGCGCUGAUACCCGUUCGGUUCCUCUUGGGGAGGCAACUUUAGCCAGAGCCCGGGACGGCAGCGGUGGAGCAGAUGGGGCCGGAAACCACAGCUCCGCCCAGCCCACCUGGGAAAGUGGGGCUCCAGCUGGGGUGGGGAACAGGUAGCUGGCUCCUCCCACGCCAGGCAUUAACUGCUCUAGACCCCUAGGAAGAAGGCUAGCGGACCCAGACGUCUGGGUCCCCAGAGGCUGAGAAGCGCAGCCCGGUACUCGUUUGCGAACCGACUCUCUAGAAAGGAGAAAGGGGGGCGCGCGGUGAGCGCUGACUCGCCGCGCAAGCGCAGGGUGGGGUAC
ensembl:lncRNA